CCGAACGAGGCGGGCGGCCAUGUUGGGUGAGGGCAGCUGGGGGCGGGGCUAAUCCGAGGCCGGGAUGGAGAGAAGCCCCGCCUCGCGGUGGAGUGACGUCAUCGCCAGAUGGGGACGUCACCACGCGGUGAGUUGCUGUCCAGCUUCCCCAGCAUUGGCUCCAGCUGUGUGUGCUGAUUCCAGCCAGGCCUUGUGUCACAGCUCCCCAGGAUCAGUGCUACGCCAUAGCUUCUAAACAGCCCCAGGAGGAGACACUUCAGCCUGCCAGACCCCCAGGGGGAGCCACAGAGCCUCACCAUCUGGGUCUACACUCAAAAGUAAGGUUGACCCAGCUCCGUGGCUCAAGGGUAUGAGAAAUCCACACCCCUGCUGGGCACAGACCUCCCCCACUGCAACUGGAGACCAUUGCUCCUUGUUCUGUCAUCUGGUACCACUGAG